UUUUUUUUUUUUUCUUUUCUUUUUUUUUUUUUUUUGUUUGGAGGAUGGGGGGGUCAACCAGUUGCCCCGCAAACCGCUCCUGAUCCUCAUUACAUCAGCAAGAGAAGCACCUCCGUCUCAGUCCUCUGAGUCCUCCUGACCCUCACCCCUAAUACAUCACCCCCUCUCUCCCUUUUUCCUGUGAUAUAAGCUACAGUGGAAGCUCCCAGAUGUCUCCUCCCUCCCCCCUUCCACUUUUAGCCCAAGGAUGAGGCAUGAUAGCAGAGAGAGAGGCAGAAAGGGAAGCAGCAAGAUAAGAAGGACAAAGGAAAAGGGCGGUGGAGCAUAAAGAUAAAGUCGGGAGGGAAAGACAAGAAGGAGGAGAGAAGGCGAGAGUGCGGAAGGAAGAGAAAUGAAAGGGAGGAAGAGGAGAAGGAGGAGGAGGAGGAGGAGGAGGAGGGAGGACGAGGGAGGCAGGGUAAUUAGGGCUGUUUCCUGAUUAAGAGCUCAGUGGAAGGGAGGCCCCCAGAGGAGGCGCGGAGCGGCACUGUGGGAGCGCCAGCCAGGAGCACUGAUACCACACAAUCGAUUCAUUAGCCAGACAGUGGAAGCCUUAAUGAGGCUGACGCCGCAGCUCGCUCUCCCCAGCGAGAGGUGUCAGGAGCUGGGGAACGAUGACGCUCUGAGAUAGAGGGGGUCGCUUCAGAUACCCACAUACACUGACAUGAAACAUAGACCUGCUCACACACACACACACACACACACACAUGCAAGGCACACGUCAUCGGACAAGAAUACACACACUCUCGGAUACACCCCCUUGAGGUAAUGGUAGGAAAAGAGAUACACACACACAACACACAGAGCACCCAAUUAAACAUUCAUCGCAGCGCUCCCCGUCUCUCUGCUUAAUAUCUAUUUUAUUUUGGUCUGACAAAGGCAGCGUCUAAUGAGCAGUGGAGUCAAUGGGAUUCUCCCAGGGCCCAGAGACACAAACACAGAACAUCAGCCGAGCUGUUCCCUCUAAUUCCUCUGGAUUGUUCUCCUGACACCGGGCGCUGCACUCACUCUCAUUAAAGGCACUGUCAGCUAGAUGAAGUAGCAGCAUGCCAACUUCACUGUAAGGCAGACAAGAGGGCAAAUUAACACCACCCGAUUACGGUAUCAUCAGCAGCCAACUAAGCAGCGACUAAUCCGGAUCCUUUUAAAUUUUAUGCAACUGGUUGCUGUUUUCAUUUACAAACCAGAAGAGAAUUACUGUUUAUCAGAGUCAUUAUCUCCAUCUCUGCCUGCCUGCUGAUGUGCUAGUGUUCAAAGUACUCCGGCUAAAUAUUGUUCGGUAAGCUAUUGAUUGCUAUUAAUUGAGAUGCUAAACACCUUGAAGGAAAAGUCUAAUAUUUUGGAAGAUAAACUUAUUCACUUUCCUGAAGAGAGUCAAAUGAGAAGAUUGAUAACAUUUUCAUGUCUUUAGGCCAAAGCAGCCUGCUAACCUAGCUUAGCAUAAAGACUGAGAACAAUGGGGAACAGCUAGCCUCUUUCCAGGAGUGACAAAAUUUACCAGCACCUCUGAAGCUCACCAAUUAACACACUGCGUGUCAUUUGCUUAAUCUGUAUAAAAACCGAGGUGUUACAGUGACAAUUACGAGAGGUUAUAUGCUGGACUGUUUCUUUGUCCGAAGAAGGAACUUCCUGGAGCGUGCGCUGGUUUUCUCGUAACGAAAUAGUCACACACAUAACCUCUCUGGAAAACAGGAGGUUUUUCCACUUCAGUUAUGGUAUGGAUUGAAGAAAUAAGAUAUAACCAAGCCUCCAGGAUCAACACCUAGGUUUGAAGCCAAUCUAACAUAGUUGCCAAACAUUGUGUUACAACUUGUCAUGUAAUGGCACUGGGCCCAAAACUACUUUUUCCCAUUGACUUACAUUGUCAAAGAUACUUCUGUAAAUCAGUGGAUACAUUCUUUUGAGCAUUGAUGAUGGUCUGAUAACAUUUCAAAAGUCUAUGAACGUCGCCCGAUGAAUUCCUUUUGUCCCCGCUGUAAGUCUUAGUGCGCUUGCUCUAUGAGCCCCACAGUGUUGAAGGUUAAUACACUGGAAUGGUAAAGUCAUACCACCAAAUUGGAGCUUGUUUGGCUUCAUGCGCCAGUGAGCAACUUUCAUAGCAAUAAACGGGGACUUGCCUCUGAAGUUGUAUCCAGUUCUCUUUAUACAUCCAUGAAUUUAACAUGCUGGUAGUUGGAUUUUGCAUUGUUGGAAAGAGCCAGGUUAACUGUUUCCUGUGUUUUAAUGCUACGCUAAGUUAACACCCUGGUUGCUGUAGCCUUAUAUUUACAGUACAGACAUGAGUAUGGUAUUAAUCUUCUCAUCUAAGCCUCAGCAAGAAAGCAAAAAAGCUGAAACUUUCCCAAAAUAUCGAGCCGUUCCUUUAAACCUGAUUCUUGCUCUUCAGUCCUCCUUGUAUCAUAUUCCAAGCUGGCAGGCAAACUGUAUAUCAGAGCUCUCUCUUUCUGUAGAACAUGCGUCACCAAUGUGUAGACUAAACCGGCACAUUUCAAGCUUUUCUUUUAUUCCUCAUUUAUUUCAGUAUUUUUUAUGAAUAGCGAUUGCUUGUCUUAUGUAAUGAUAUGUUUAUGUAUUGGGGUUGCCUAUGACUGCGUUUCGGGUUCGGGGGAGCAAACAGAAAGGGAUGCACUCACAAAUAGAGACACACAAAAUCAAGUGAAACAGGCGGGAAAAAUAUUUUUUUGGUUCUUUUAAUUUUUUUUUUUUUUUUUUUUUUAAAUCAGUGUAUUUUUAUCCUUGGUGGUGGUGACAGGCAGAGGGCUCACAACAUCAGCAGUCCCAUGUAAAGAAAAAAAAAGACCCUCCGUUCUGUCUUCUGUUUGUUGUUUUUGUUUUAUUCCCCCUUUUUUCAAAAGUGGUAGUAAAUGUACUAUAGUCUGUUUUCAGUCCUUAAUGUGCAACUAAACUAUGUUUCCGUUGAGUCUGUGGUCAGUGUACAGCGGGCGUCGACUGCGACAUGACGAUACAGAUCUAGCCAUCGAAGAGGUCCCACUUUGUACUGCAUGCUUGUUGCACUAAAGCUCCACUUCUGCUGAUAGAACGAGACAAAUCUGAUCUUUCUCCGUAGGUACAGUGAAUAGACUCACAGUCACAGUUUUACAGAGGGAUGAAUUUUACAUUACAGUAUGCAAUUUAAUUCAAUUGUAUAAACUUUUAGCAGGAUUUGUCCGUGUUUCUCUCUGCAGUGCUAAUGCAGGAUAGAAGAGUUAUGAGGGACUUCUACAAUGGCUUCUGUACCAGCGAGAAGUCAGAGAUCAUCUGUACAGUUUAAUGCCUUUGCCUGCCUCUUUCCCUUUCUGCUCGUCAGCCACAGGCAUACACAAGCUUGUAUACUACUCAGAAUGAUGCUGUAUAAUGGCUAUGCAUUUGGUGGUAUAGCGUGAAUAUUUGGGACAUUGUAUUUGAUACUCCUCUUUAACUGUCAGUAACGUCCCCCCCCCUGCCUGUGCUUUCUCUGUUCCAACAGUAUAAAGACUUUUAUUUUCCGUUUUACGAGCCCAUGUUUAGUUUCUCUUUUAAAAAGCCAAGGAACUUUUUUUUAAACUGCACUGUGUCUUCUUCCCUCCUGAUGCGUUUCCCAUGUGCUGUACAAGAAAUACUAUGUGUGAAAAAUAAACCAAACUUGUGUUCAUCCUU